ACGUAGGUGGCAAGCGUUGUCCGGAAUUACUGGGUGUAAAGGGAGCGCAGGCGGGAAAGCAAGUCAGCUGUGAAAUCCAUGGGCUUAACCCAUGAACUGCAGUUGAAACUGUUUUUCUUGAGUGAAGUAGAGGUUGGCGGAAUUCCGAGUGUAGCGGUGAAAUGCGUAGAUAUUCGGAGGAACACCGGUGGCGAAGGCGGCCAACUGGGCUUUUACUGACGCUGAGGCUCGAAAGUGUGGGGAGCAAACAG
rnacentral:rRNA from 1 species